rnacentral:rRNA from 1 species
AUUGAACGCUGGCGGAACGCUUUACACAUGCAAGUCGAACGGCAGCACGGGUGCUUGCACCUGGUGGCGAGUGGCGAACGGGUGAGUAAUACAUCGGAACGUACCCAGUUGUGGGGGAUAACUAACCGAAAGGUUAGCUAAUACCGCAUACGACCUGAGGGUGAAAGCGGGGGACCGUAAGGCCUCGCGCAAUUGGAGCGGCCGAUGUCUGAUUAGCUAGUUGGUAGGGUAAAGGCCUACCAAGGCGACGAUCAGUAGCUGGUCUGAGAGGAUGAUCAGCCACACUGGAACUGAGACACGGUCCAGACUCCUACGGGAGGCAGCAGUGGGGAAUUUUGGACAAUGGGCGAAAGCCUGAUCCAGCCAUUCCGCGUGAGUGUAGAAGGCCUUCGGGUUGUAAAGCUCUUUCGGCAGGGAAGGAACGGCCUAGGUUAAUACCUUGGGCUAAUGACGGUACCUGAAGAAGAAGCACCGGCUAACUACGUGCCAGCCGCCGCCGUAA